GUUACCUUAUAUGAAGAAAAAACACAUGCAAGAGCAAUUGUUGAAUAGUAGAGAUGGAAAAUAAAAUUGUAGUGAGAAGUGUCAAAAAUAUGGAAUGGAAAAUGUAAUAGAGAAGUGUUUAAAGACAUAUAUAUUCAUAUGAAGCCAAUUAAAUAACCCAACAGUGCAUUUCAACGUUCACCUGCUAAUAUCAAUUGCAUCUG
rnacentral:lncRNA from 1 species